rnacentral:rRNA from 1 species
GAUGAACGCUGGCGGCGUGCCUAAUACAUGCAAGUCGAGCGAACAGACGAGGAGCUUGCUCCUCUGAUGUUAGCGGCGGACGGGUGAGUAACACGUGGAUAACCUACCUAUAAGACUGGGAUAACUUCGGGAAACCGGAGCUAAUACCGGAUAAUAUAUUGAACCGCAUGGUUCAAUAGUGAAAGACGGUUUUGCUGUCACUUAUAGAUGGAUCCGCGCCGCAUUAGCUAGUUGGUAAGGUAACGGCUUACCAAGGCAACGAUGCGUAGCCGACCUGAGAGGGUGAUCGGCCACACCGGAACUGAGACACGGUCCAGACUCCUACGGGAGGCAGCAGUAGGGAAUCUUCCGCAAUGGGCGAAAGCCUGACGGAGCAACGCCGCGUGAGUGAUGAAGGUCUUCGGAUCGUAAAACUCUGUUAUUAGGGAAGAACAAAUGUGUAAGUAACUAUGCACGUCUUGACGGUACCUAAUCAGAAAGCCACGGCUAACUACGUG